UGGUAUACCUCAGAUCCGCGGCGUCCC
rnacentral:piRNA from 1 species